UACCAUGCAGUCGAGCGGAUGAGAGGAGCUUGCUCCUUAAUUCAGCGGCGGACGGGUGAGUAAUGCCUAGGAAUCUGCCUGGUAGUGGGGGACAACGUUUCGAAAGGAACGCUAAUACCGCAUACGUCCUACGGGAGAAAGCAGGGGACCUUCGGGCCUUGCGCUAUCAGAUGAGCCUAGGUCGGAUUAGCUAGUUGGUGAGGUAAUGGCUCACCAAGGCGACGAUCCGUAACUGGUCUGAGAGGAUGAUCAGUCACACUGGAACUGAGACACGGUCCAGACUCCUACGGGAGGCAGCAGUGGGGAAUAUUGGACAAUGGGCGAAAGCCUGAUCCAGCCAUGCCGCGUGUGUGAAGAAGGUCUUCGGAUUGUAAAGCACUUUAAGUUGGGAGGAAGGGCAGUAAAUUAAUACUUUGCUGUUUUGACGUUACCGACAGAAUAAGCACCGGCUAACUCUGUGCCAGCAGCCGCGGUAAUACAGAGGGUGCAAGCGUUAAUCGGAAUUACUGGGCGUAAAGCGCGCGUAGGUGGUUCGUUAAGUUGGAUGUGAAAUCCCCGGGCUCAACCUGGGAACUGCAUUCAAAACUGUCGAGCUAGAGUAUGGUAGAGGGUGGUGGAAUUUCCUGUGUAGCGGUGAAAUGCGUAGAUAUAGGAAGGAACACCAGUGGCGAAGGCGACCACCUGGACUGAUACUGACACUGAGGUGC
rnacentral:rRNA from 1 species